AGCGAACGCUGGCGGCAGGCCUAACACAUGCAAGUCGAGCGCCCCGCAAGGGGAGCGGCAGACGGGAGAGUAACACGUGGGAACGUACCCUUCAGUUCGGAACAACCCAGGGAAACUUGGGCUAAUACCGAAUACGUCCGUAAGGAGAAAGAUUUAUCGCUGAAGGAUCGGCCCGCGUCUGAUUAGCUAGUUGGUGAGGUAAUGGCUCACCAAGGCGACGAUCAGUAGCUGGUCUGAGAGGAUGAUCAGCCUCACUGGGACUGAGACACGGCCCAGACUCCUACGGGAGGCAGCAGUGGGGAAUAUUGGACAAUGGGCGCAAGCCUGAUCCAGCCAUGCCGCGUGGAUGAUGAAGGCCCUAGGGUUGUAAAGUCCUUUUAACGGGGAAGAUAAUGACGGUACCCGUAGAAUAAGCCCCGGCUAACUUCGUGCCAGCAGCCGCAGUAACAC
rnacentral:rRNA from 1 species